rnacentral:rRNA from 1 species
UUACACAUGCAAGUCGAACGGUGAGGGAGUAACCUCGUUGAGAGUGCCGAACGGGUGAGUAAUAUAUCGGAACGUGCCCAGACCUGGGGGAUAACGUAGUGAAAAUUACGCUAAUACCGCAUACAAUCUAAGGAUGAAAGCGGGGGACUCGCGAGAACCUCGCGCGACUGGUAGCGGCCGAUAUCAGAUUAUGUAGUUGGCGGGGUAAAGGCUCACCAAGCCAACGAUCUGUAGCUGGUCUGAGAGGACGACCAGCCACACUGGAACUGAGACACGGUCCACAUCUCCUACGAGGAGGCAGCAGUGGGGAAUUUUGGACAAUGGACGCAAGUCUGAUCCAGCCAUUCCGCGUGCAGGAUGAAGGCCCUCGGGUUGUAAACUGCUUUUGUACUGAACGAAAAGGUCUCUCCUAAUACGAGAGGCUCAUGACGGUACCGUAAGAAUAAGCACCGGCUAACUACGUGCCACCAGCCGCGGUAAUACGUAGGGUGCAAGCGUUAAUCGGAAUUACUGGGUGUAAAGCGUGCGCACGCGGUUAUGUAAGACAGAUGUGAAAUCCCCGGGCUCAACCUGUGAACUGCAUUUGUGACUGUAUAGCUAGACUACCGUAGACGGGGAUAGAAUUCCGCGUGUAACAGUGAAAUGCGUAGAUAUGCGGAGGAACACCGAUGGCCAAGGCAAUCACCUGGACCUGUACUGACGCUCAUGCACUAAAGCGUGGGGAGCAAACAGGAUUAGAUACCCUGGUAGUCUGCGCCCUAAACGAUGUCAACUGGUUGUUGGGUCUUAACUGACUCAGCAACGAGCUAACGCGAGAAGUUGACCGCCUGGACAG